GAACCUCUUAAAUCUAUCUAACCAUCUCUCCGAUCUCAAAACCCUAAUCUCUUCGUUACAUAAAUCGAAACACAAACAUGGUAGAAUCAAAUCAUUCCUCACUCGUAGAGUCAAAACUCAUGAAAUCACAAAAGUUGCAGAAUCAAUCGAAUCAGAAAUCCAAGCUUGGAUUGAUCGAGAAUCGAUUACAAAUCUCACUAAUCAGCUUCAACAAAUCCGUUUACAAUCAAAUUCAUCGCAAUACGAAGAAGAUGAAG
rnacentral:misc_RNA from 1 species